rnacentral:rRNA from 1 species
UGCCAGCAGCCGCGGUAAUACGAAGGGUGCUAGCGUUGUUCGGAAUUACUGGGCGUAAAGAGCAUGUAGGCGGCAUACCAAGUUGGGGGUGAAAUCCCGGGGCUCAACCCCGGAACUGCCUCCAAAACUGGUAAGCUAGAGGAUGUGAGAGGAUAGUGGAAUUCCGAGUGUAGAGGUGAAAUUCGUAGAUAUUCGGAAGAACACCAGUGGCGAAGGCGACUGUCUGGCACAUUUCUGACGCUGAGGUGCGAAAGCGUGGGUAGCAAACGGGAUUAGAUA